rnacentral:tRNA from 1 species
UUUAACGGGGCUCAGUGGUUAGAGCGUAGGUCUCAUAACCGAAAGGUUGCGGGAUCGUAUCCCGCUAGAG